rnacentral:rRNA from 1 species
ACCCCUUAUAACCUGUUACCCGCUUUCGGACUAGGUCGUUACGGCGCACUCACUACUUCCGGAAUCCCAACAUUUCGAGAAAAUGGUCCCUACUAUUACUGUCAUGGACCUCUUAUUCGAGGCCGAUUGAGGCACGGUCGUCGGCGCCAUUA